UACGUAGGGGGCGAGCGUUGUCCGGAUUUAUUGGGCGUAAAACGCUUGUAGGCGGCCACAUCGCGUCGGACGUGAAAUCCCCCGGCUUAACCGGGGAACUGGCGUCGAUACGACCGCCCUGGAGGGGCGUAGGGGGACCUGGAACUUCCGGUGGAGCGGUGAAAUGCGUUGAGAUCGGAAGGAACGCCCGUGGCGAAAGCGAGGUCCUGGACGCCUACUGACGCUGAGACGCGAAAGCCAGGGGAGCGAACGGG
rnacentral:rRNA from 1 species